rnacentral:rRNA from 1 species
GACGAACGCUGGCGGCGUGCUUAACACAUGCAAGUCGAACGGAAAGGCCCUGCUUUUGUGGGGUGCUCGAGUGGCGAACGGGUGAGUAACACGUGAGUAACCUGUCCUUGACUUUGGGAUAACUUCAGGAAACUGGGGCUAAUACCGGAUAGGAGCUCCUGCUGCAUGGUGGGGGUUGGAAAGUUUCGGCGGUUGGGGAUGGACUCGCGGCUUAUCAGCUUGUUGGUGGGGUAGUGGCUUACCAAGGCUUUGACGGGUAGCCGGCCUGAGAGGGUGACCGGCCACAUUGGGACUGAGAUGCGGCCCAGACUCCUACGGGAGGCAGCAGUGGGGAAUAUUGCACAAUGGGCGGAAGCCUGAUGCAGCAACGCCGCGUGCGGGAUGACGGCCUUCGGGUUGCAAACCGCUUUCGCCUGUGACGAAGCGUGAGUGACGGUAAUGGGUAAAGAAGCACCGGCUAACUACGUG